rnacentral:lncRNA from 1 species
AUGUUCAGAAAGGUCUGCCUGUUGAAGGUACAUGUUCUGAAAAGUCUAUGGAAGAGAGACCCAAUGAAAAAGGCCCCAAAAGACAAAAUAAAAGACAAAUUUGUUCCACCAAAACUCACAGUCAGUGAUGCUGAAAGUGGCACUUAUUCCAUUAUCUACAAUGAGAUGGAUUCAGAGAGUGAAAGAAUAUCCAACAGCUCUUCAAAAGAAUCAGAAAGAGGCAAGGAACAUUUUAGUUCACAGAGGAAACACAGCCAAGUCACCCAAGACUUCCAAAAGGCUGUAGGCGAUCUCACAAACAACAUAAAUGAAGGAAUGCAAGACAAGGUAAAAACAAAUGAGAAGGAAGAAGGUGCUGACAGGCAAAACAAAUCCAAAAGCCCAAAAGUCUAUGUGAAAGACUUCUUAAGUGGACUUUUUGGACUGUCAAGCUCAGAAAGAGUCAAAACGGUAGAUGAACUUGAGGAGGAACUCUCUGAAACACUGUCCUCAGAGUCUUUCAAACCUGAUAAAGUCAGAAAGGACAGUAUCACAGUAUAUGAUAUCCUUGGGCAGUCUCACUCCGUAUCCUCGUUAAAUGGUAAACAAACACAUCACAUCAGUCACUCUUCAAAUUCAAGUGAACCCUCUCUAUUGCACGAAUCCGAACAGAGGGCACAACCAGAAGAGAUGUUAAGGAAUGCAGAAGUCUGCAACAUGAAAGAAAAAGUAGAUGAAAAGGUGAAGGAGACUUUACAGAAACCAUCAAUAGAUUCUUGCUCAUUAAGCAACCAUGAAAGUGAGUCAGAUGUCUCUGACAGGGUAGUUUCUCCACCUAGUGAUGUGGACAAGAGGGGAUGGGUGCACAGUUUGAUUGAGUCAGCUAGAAACUUAACACAAAUACCACACAGUCAUACUUCAUCCAAGGAUCAACAAGACAGCUGCUUGAAUAGAUCUGAUAAAGAUGAGGAAGAGCUGGACUUCUUUAAAGAUCAUACUCAAGUUGAUAUGCCUGCUGUAUCAGUCAAGAGCCCUCAACCAAACCAACCAGCAAUGCAAUUCUUGUCCCUUCCGGCAACUCACCUGGUCACAGUCAAGGACGGAAAGCUGUCGGUUGGAAGUGCCUCUGUGUCUGAGGAGGAGGAGGGAUGCUCUGCUGAGGGAUGCUCUGCUGUGAGCACUCUAUCUGAGGGAAUUGAUGGCUAUGAACAAGCAAAGGGGAUAUGA